AGUGAACGCUGGCGGCAGGCCUAACACAUGCAAGUCGAGCGGCAGCGCGGGAGCAACCCUGGCGGCGAGCGGCGGACGGGUGAGGAAUUCGUCGGAAUCUGCCUUUUUGUGGGGGAUAACGUAGGGAAACUUACGCUAAUACCGCAUACGUCCUACGGGAGAAAGUGGGGGACCGCAAGGCCUCACGCAGAAAGAUGAGCCGACGACCGAUUAGCUAGUUGGUGGGGUAAAGGCCCACCAAGGCGACGAUCGGUAGCUGGUCUGAGAGGAUGAUCAGCCACACUGGGACUGAGACACGGCCCAGACUCCUACGGGAGGCAGCAGUGGGGAAUAUUGGACAAUGGGCGCAAGCCUGAUCCAGCCAUGCCGCGUGUGUGAAGAAGGCCUUCGGGUUGUAAAGCACUUUUGUCCGGAAAGAAAUCCCUGGAGCUAAUACCUUCGGGGGAUGACGGUACCGGAAGAAUAAGCACCGGCUAACUUCGUG
rnacentral:rRNA from 1 species